CAGGAGACUACCGUGGUCACGAUGGCGGUUCUCCCGUUCGAGGCAGCGUUUUAGGCCUCUGUUUCCACUGUUUAAUCUAUAUCUAUUGGAAAGAGACAAUUAGGACUGGAAGAUGCAAAGCGGAAAUUUCUUUUGGUUACAUCCCUUGACCAAAUUAAUAAAUCUUCAAGACAACCCAAACAGGACAGGAUUUCAUGAAAAUGGACCAAAUGGACUACUAAAUUGUUGAAAAAUAAAACAGAAACGGAAAAAAAACAACACUAUUACAAUAAAUAAUAAUAAUAAUAAAUCUAAUCUUAAAAUGAGUUAUAUGCCAAAAUGAAAUAAUUUUUUUUAAGCUCUUCACACACACACUUACUUUGUGAUCUGUACUUAAAUAGAAACCAAUUUGCUUCAUUAUAUGUACAUUUUUGUAACUCUAGCAGACCCCAGAGAAUCUCGAAGGAUAUAGGAUAGAGGUCCUUUGUCUUAGGUUCUUAAGGGAAAAAUUGUUGCAAAAAUAAAAAUAAAUAUAAAUUAAAAUGAAUGCUAAUGACUCAUAAGUCUUUAAAAAAAAUAAUAAAAAUUUAGUUUGGCAAUACUCAUUUUAAGGAACACCUUCAAAAUUUUUGUGAAUAUUUUUUUUUUUUUUUUUUUCACCAAUUUCUGGACAUUUGCUGUCAACAUUUUAUGGACCGUUGCUGUCACCUAUUUCUGGACAUUUGCUGUCAACAUUUUAUGGACCGUUGCUGUCACCUAUUUCUGGACCUUUGCUGUCAUCAUUUAAUUGGAACUCUGCUGUCAUCAUUUUCUGGACCCAUUCCUGUCACCAUUUUAUGGAUCUUCGAUGCAGCCUACUCCGCGAUCAUACUGAAAAUCCU